CCAUCUCGUAAGGACUAAAUACUACUGUGUGACCGAUAGUGAACCAGUACCGCGAGGGAAAGGUGAAAGAACCCCGGAAGGGAGUGAAGAGACAAGUGAACCGAUCGGGACAGUACAUCCGCGAGCUGCCCUUGUGGUAGGGUGACGGCGUGCCUUUUUGAAGAAGUGAGCCUGCGAGUUAGUGGUGUAGUGGCGAGGUUAACCCGUGUGGGGAAANCCGUAGCGAAAGCAGUCCGAAUAGGGCGUUGUCGAGCGGCCGNGAAUU
rnacentral:misc_RNA from 1 species